CCCAACAUAAUUUUGAUUUGUCGUGAAUAUUUGAUUGGGAAAUACACAUAUAUAAACUUAGAUUUUACUUAUCGUUGUUGCUUUGAGAGGUGCUACUAGUGAACCUAUGAACUCUGGUCCAAUUUUCUCCACAAGAAACCUUACCAAAUCACUUCUAUAUGCACCUCACUAGAACAAUUGGAAGCACAAGUGGGUCUUAAUUUGUUUCCAAUGUUUGUUGAUUGAUGCUAGGGGUGUUAUCACUACGGAUUGUUACCUUAGUUCUCAACCGAGGUGGGAGUUACCACUUGUUGCGAAUCCUUGCACUUGGGGGCUGACCGCUUGGAUUCUAGGAUAUAGGUGGAAACAAGCAGCCAACACUCAUCACUGUACCAUGAGAUAGUAUCAACCGGGGUACCAACCUGAGGCAUGUGUUUUCUUGGGUACCAGUGGUGCUGAAUAGCUUUGCCCAUAAGAGAGCAAUGAAAUGGUAAAUGAGCACAGAGAUCGGCCAACAUCCACUCUAAGCUUCGAGCGAUAGGGACCUUGGAAGCGAAGCAUACACGGUCGCCUGUGAAUGAGCUAGGGAGUUAUUUUCCGGUGUACGCACUCGCUACGUACGUGGUCUAUACUACAACGGCCGGAGUACCAACCGCUGUUCAUGAUGGUGUGUACGCGAUUGGAGCAGGUGGCUACGGAGGUUUUUUCCCAACAUGGGUGGCAGAAUAACCUACGGAUCGAGCCACCACCUUCUUCGACAUAGGCAUAGUGUCGGUCUAAAAGACUCUACUGUUGCCGGUGUGUCGAUUUUUAUUUCAUGAAUUUUGUCAGACUUCUAGAUUUGGCUGUGUGCAUCUUAGUUAUGCAGAGGCCGGGUGUUACUCAUAAUGCUUUGUAUCCGCUUGAUGCUACAUUUUGAGAUAAUAAA